rnacentral:rRNA from 1 species
GAUGAACGCUGGCGGCGUGCCUAAUACAUGCAAGUCGAGCGAACGGACGAGAAGCUUGCUUUUCUGAUGUUAGCGGCGGACGGGUGAGUAACACGUGGAUAACCUACCUAUAAGACUGGGAUAACUUCGGGAAACCGGAGCUAAUACCGGAUAAUAUUUUGAACCGCAUGGUUCAAAAGUGAAAGACGGUCUUGCUGUCACUUAUAGAUGGAUCCGCGCUGCAUUAGCUAGUUGGUAAGGUAACGGCUUACCAAGGCAACGAUGCUUAGCCGACCUGAGAGGGUGAUCGGCCACACUGGAACUGAGACACGGUCCAGACUCCUACGGGAGGCAGCAGUAGGGAAUCUUCCGCAAUGGGCGAAAGCCUGACGGAGCCACGCCGCGUGAGUGAUGAAGGUCUUCGGGUCGUAAAGCUCUGUUAUUAGGGAAGAACAUAUGUGUAAGUAACUGUGCACAUCUUGACGGUACCUAAUCAGAAAGCCACGGCUAACUACGUG